AGGCAACAGGGAGCUUAUGCCAAAAAACUACAAUUGGCUGCCCAGCAUGAUGGAGGUUUUAGCUACGUUGACUGCUGCUGGUAGGGUAGCACAUCUUGCAGCCGAGGUGAGCUCUAAGUGGGUUUUGGGAACGGUGGUCUGAGCCUCUCAGACUGCAUCUAGUUUCACCUGGACCCUUUGGCUUGGACAGAUGCUCCUGGGAGCAGCCGGAUACCCCACUGCCCUCUUCUGGACUCUCAUGGUUGGAAUGACUUGAGAGAGAUCGGAACACCAACGGUUCUCGGUUCAGAAUUCCAGACCCAUCUGCCCGGCUACUGAAAGCACAGCUCCUAAUUUAAGCUCUGGAGAGAAGUGGUGGAGCUCUUAGGAAAAGAUGUCCCAGAAGAAUAGAAGAGUAUUUCUUAAGAAGGAAUUUCUGUCCUAUGGAGCCAGCAUAGGUGAUGCCAGUCAGGCCAGCUGCAAGCAGACCUCCGGGAAGAUGGUGUGGCCACAGUAGCUCAGAAAGGGGACAGAAGCUAAGCUGAUUUGUUGCAACAAGCAAGAAGGCAGGUUUAUUGUGCAAUAAUGCUUAAAUAUUACCCAAGACCAGCAAAAUAAACAAAGAACAAAGAAUGACUGAUUUGCCGCUCUGCUGUGUUGAAGCCUGACAAAACUGUCAUUGACAG